rnacentral:rRNA from 1 species
UACGGGGGGGGGCAAGCGUUGUUCGGAAUUACUGGGCGUAAAGAGCUCGUAGGUGGUUUGUCGCGUUGUUCGUGAAAACUCACAACUCAAUUGUGGGCGUGCGGGCGAUACGGGCAGACUGGAGUACUGCAGGGGAGACUGGAAUUCCUGGUGUAGCGGUGGAAUGCGCAGAUAUCAGGAGGAACACCGGUGGCGAAGGCGGGUCUCUGGGCAGUAACUGACGCUGAGGAGCGAAAGCGUGGGGAGCGAACAGG